GCAUUAUUUGCAUGUGAAGGUUUGGGAUUUGUGGGACCAGGCAGUUGGUUUCACUGGGGGGUCCCAGUCAAAGGAGGGGCGAAGGGAUACCUUGCUGUGGUUCCUAAGCCACUUGUUCAUUCAGCGUUAGCUCCAGCGGCAAUGGACAGGGUUCAAACUGACCGAUUUGGAGAAAGCGAUGGAACGUUGUCACGUCCGUCAGGCAUCUCGGGUCUUACAGAGAGGUAUGAA